AAGAAGCUGUCUAGUUGGCAGCCUUCCGAAGUAAUUCGGAAUGGAAAAUCGGGCUAAUUCGGGAAACCCCUCAGAUAUUUAAGGUAAUCCCGAGCUAAAUAAGGUACAGAAUUGUACUUUUAAAUGUGUAGAGACUAUAUACCCGAUCCCGAUUUAAUCGGGAAUGAGAUAGUCCACGCCUUAAGGAAACUUAGGG
rnacentral:ncRNA from 1 species